CUUCGGACCCCAAAUCAAUAUCAAAACAGGGAUUUCUUCGGACCCCAAAUCAAUAUCAAACGGGGAUUUCUUCGGACCCCAAAUUAAUAUCAAACAGGGAUUUCUUCGGAUCCUAAAUUAUAAAUCAAACGGGGAUUUCUUCAGACCCAAAAUCAAUAUCAAAGCGGAAAUUUCUUCGGACCCCAAAUCAAAAUCAAAAGGGAAUUUCUUCGGACCCCGAAUCAAAUUUCCAAAGGGGAUUUCUUCGGACCCCAAAUCAUAAAUCAAACGGGAAUUUUUUCGGACUCCAAAUCAAAUCAAGAUCAAACGGGAAUUUCUUUGAACCCCAAAUCAUAAAUCAAACGGGGAUUUCUUCGGACCCCAAAUCUAAUUGCAAAAUCAAAAAGGGACUUCUUCGGACCCUAAAUCCAAUCAAAAAGGGAAUUUCUUCGGACCCCAAAUCCAAUUGCAAAUCAAAAGGGAAUUUCUUCGGACCCCAAAUUAAAUUGCAAAAUCAAAUUCGGACCCCAAAUCAAAUUGCAAAUCCGAAUUAAGUUCACAUACGAACCCAAAUCCGAAUCAAGUUCCUAUACGAACCCAAAUCCAAAUCAAGUUCACAUACGAACCCAAAACCAAAUUAAGUCCACAUCCAAACCCAAAACCAAAUCAAGUCCACAACCCAUUCCACAAAUAAACCCAAAUCCAAAACCAAAUCAAGUCCACAUCCAAACCCAAAACCCAAAUCCGAAUCAAGUUCACAUACGAACCCAAACCAAAUCAAGUCCACAUACGAACCCAAAUCAAAUCAAGUCCACAUACAAACCAAAUCCGAACCAAGUCCACAAAUAAAGCCCAAAACCAAAACCCAAAUAAAAUCCGAACCCAAAUCCAAACCAAAUCAAAUCCAAACCCAAAACCAAAUAUAGUCUCCAAAUAAACCCAAACCCAAAACCCAAAUAAACCCAAACCCAAAACCCAAAUUAAAUCCGAACCCAAACCCAAAUUAAGUCCACAUCCAAACCUAACCCAAACCAAGUCCACAUAAAGAACCCAAACCCAUUUCACAAAUAAAAUCCAAACCCAACCCAAACCAAGUUUAUAAAUAAAACUAAAAUCCAAACCAAAAUCCAAACCAAAUCAAACCCAAACCCAACUCAAAUCAAGUCCACAAUCCAAAUCCAAACCCAAAACCCAAAUCCAACUUCCAACUUAGGCUCAUGAACCUAAACCAUAUCUAAGUUCGUGAAUCAAAUCUCAAAUCCUAUACCCAAGUUCAUGAAUCAAGUCUCAUGAACCAAAACUCAUAAACCAAGUUCAUGAACCAUGAACCAUGAAUCAUGAACCAUGAUCCAAGUUCAUGAACAAAAUCCCAUAUACCCAACUUCAUAAACUAUAAACCAAGUUCAUGAAUCAUGAAUCAAGUCCAUAAACCAAGAUUCAUGAGCCAAAUUCAUAAACCUCAUCCAUGAACCAUAUCCAAGUUCAUGAACCAAAUCUCAUACACCAAACAUCAUGAACCAUAAACCACAACCCACGCCCAUGGACCAAAUCCCAUA
rnacentral:lncRNA from 1 species